UGAAAGUGACUACAUCGGGGUU
rnacentral:siRNA from 1 species